UACGAAGGGUGCAAACGUUAUUCGGAAUAAUUGGGCGUACAGGGUGCGCAGGCGGUGUGCUAAGUCAACUGUUAAAUCCCCCAGCCUAACUGGGGAUCAGCAGUAGAUACUGGUACGCUAGAGGGUGGAAGAGAGAAGUGGAAUUCUUGGAGUAGCGGUAAAAUGCGUAGAUCUCAAGAGGAACACCGAUGGCGAAGGCAGCUUCUUGGUCCACAUCUGACGCUCAUGCACGAAAGCGUGGGGAGCAAACAGG
rnacentral:rRNA from 1 species